UUGAAUAAACUUGGUUGGGUUGUUGCUGGCUUUUAGAAGUACGUGCACACCCACGCCAAAUUUUCAACCACCUGUGCACAUCGCGUAGAUCCUUAGAGUAGGAUGGAAUAUGCUUGCUCGUGAGCUGUUCCUGUAUUCAAAGGGUCUAUGUCUAUUAUAUCACACACACCAAAAAAUGUAUCAGAAUGUAAAUUUAUAGGCCGUUGUAUGCCUUUAAAAAUAAUAA
rnacentral:misc_RNA from 1 species